AGAUGUGCCACGCGCUCGCCAUAGGCGCCGCUGUGCAGGCUCGGUGAGCCAGGCCGGCGGCGGCGGCGCGGGCGGCGGAGGCGGAUCUGUGUCUCGAUGUGCUCGCUGAGAGCUCCGCGGGGCAGCCGAGGUCCCGCUCGGCUACUGAAGUAGCCACAGAGGCGCGCGUGGAACUGGCGGAAGGUGAGCUCAGGAGGGUCGGCGCGCAGAGCCAGGCGCGCCUCUUCCCUGACGUCCGCGUCCCCGCCAGCGAUCAUCCCAGUAGCCGGGCUCUUGGCCGCCGCCUCCGCGGAGUUUGCGUCCUCCGUGGCCGUCUCCCCGUCAGCGUUCAGUCCCAGAACCGCGCAGAGCGCACGGAAGUCGGCGCGCGGCAGGCGGCCCGCGCCCCGGCAGUCCAAGUGGUGGAAAACCUCCUGCAGGUACUGGUCCAGACCAGUAGCCAGCACCACGAUCUCGUUCUCCACGCCGCGGUCCAGCCCAUAGUGGCCUUUCCGCCCUUGUCACCAGAGGCUACAACGCCUGUGGCUGCAGUUGUGUUCUGCAAUUCCCAGCUCUCGCCCGCCCGGCAACCUGCCUAGUGUCCUCUGCCCCAGCUAAGAGGCCUCUUCUCCAGACUGCUUCCUAAAGAUGUGGUAUUGACUCCACCUGUUGCCUGCUGUGGGAAUCUUACCCAGCCAUAUCGGAGCAAAAGGCAAACUCAGCGACCCUUGACUAUUAGAUAGGCAGCUCUUGUUUUAUGUACACCUCGGGUUUUAAAUGUUAAAUCCCAGUUGAAAAACAUUCUCAUUUUGCUUCCUCCAUUAUAGCAACCCGGACCAGCA